AUGUCUAAGUCAGAGUCUCUUAAUGAGCCCGAACAGCUGUGGAAGCUUUUCAUUGGAGGGUUGAGCUUUGAAACGACUGAUGAGAGUCUGAGGAGCCAUUUUGAGCAAUGGGGAACGCUUACAGACUGCAUGGUAAUGAGAGAUCCAAACACCAAGCACUCCAGGGGCUUUGGGUUUGUCACAUACGCCACUGUGGAAGAGGUGAUGCAGCAGUGAACGCAAGGCCACACAAAGUGGAUGGAAGAGUCGUGGAACAAGAGAGAGCUGUUUCCAGAGAAGAUUCUCAAAGACCUGGUGCCCACUUAACUGUGAAAAAGAUCUUUGUUUGUGGCAUUAAAGAAGAUACUGAAGAACAUCACUUAAGAGACUAUUUUGAACAGUAUGGGAAAAUUGAAGUGAUUGAAAUCAUGACUGACCGAGGCAGUGGCAAGAAAAGGGGCUUUGCUUUUGUUACAUUUGAUGACCAUGAUUCUGUGGAUAAGAUUGUCAUUCAGAAAUACCAUACUGUGAAUGGCCACAACUGUGAGUAAGGAAAGCCCUGUCAAAUCAAGAGAUGGCUAGUGCUUCGUCCAGCCAAAGAGGUCGAAAUGGUUCUGGAAACUUUGGUGGAGGUCAUUGAGGUAGUUUUGGUGGAAAUGACAACUUUGGCCGUGGAGGAAACUUCAGUGGUCAUGGUGGCUUUGGUGGCAGCCGUGGUGGAUAUGGUGGCAGUGGGGAUUGCUACAAUGGAUUUGGUAAUGAUGGUGGUUAUGGAGGAGGCAGCCCUGGUUACUCUGGAGGAAGCAGAGGCUAUGGAAGUGGUGGACAGGGUUAUGGAAACCAGGGCAGUGGCUACAGCAGGAGUGGUAGCUAUGACAGCUAUAACAAUGGAGGAGUUGGAGGCGGCUUUGGUGGUGGUAGUGGAAGCAAUUUUGGAGGUGGUGGAAGUUACAAUGAUUUUGGCAAUUACAACAAUCAGUCAUCAAAUUUUGGACCCAUGAAGGGAAGAAAUUUUGGAGGCAGAAGCUCUGGCCCUUAUGGUGGUGGCAGCCAAUACUUUGCCAAACCAUGAAACCAAGGUGGCUGUGGUGGUUCCAAUAGCAGCAGUAGAUGUGGCAGUGGCAGAAGGUUUUAAUUAUUCCCAGGAAACAAAGCUUAGCAGGAGAGGAGAGCCAGAGAAGUGACAGGGAAGCUACAGGUUACAACAGAUUUGUGAACUCAGCCAAGCACAGUGGUGGCAGGGCCUAGCUGCUACAAAGAAGACAUAUUUUAGACAAUACUCCUGUGUAUGGGCAAAAAACUCGAGGACUGUAUUUGUGACUAAUUGUAUAACAGGUUAUUUUAGUUUCUGUUCUGUGGAAAGUGUAAAGCAUUCCAGCAAAGGGUUUUAAUGUAGAUUUUUUUUUUUUGCACCCAUGCUGUUGAUUGCUAAAUGUAAUAGUCUGAUCAUGAUGCUGAAUAAAUGUGUCUUUUUUUUU